rfam:Isosphaera pallida ATCC 43644, complete genome.
GGGGGCGAACUAGGAUCGACCGGAUGACUGAGAGGAGAGGUGGCGCGCCGAGGUUGGUCGGCUGGCCUCGUAAAAAGCCGAUCAAAAAUGAACUGCCGAGAGCAACAGCUCUCUCCGUCUCGCCGCCUAAUCGCGGCCCCGCUUGAUCGCGGUUGCAGACGGCUCCGUGACGAACCCUCCUCCCGCUGGGUUUGUCCGGUGCUCGCCAAUGCGGGAUCGCUCGUGCCUAACCGCCUGUUGCGGCACGAGUUAAACGUCACGACGGGCUAAGCGCUUGGACCCCCGCCAAUCGGGGAAAAAGCGACGAAAACUCAAAGGUUGGCUACGCGCGUAGAGGCCCUCCUUAAUGCAUUUCGGGACGCGGGUGCAAUUCCCGCCGCCUCCACUU